rfam:Schistosoma curassoni strain Dakar, Senegal genome assembly, scaffold: SCTD_scaffold0000890
GCACUGCUGAGGGGUUCUACAAUAGGACGAAACGGCCGUCUAGUGC